rnacentral:rRNA from 1 species
UACGUAGGUGGCAAGCGUUGUCCGGAAUUAUUGGGCGUAAAGCGCGCGCAGGCGGUCCUUUAAGUCUGAUGUGAAAUCCCCGGGCUCAACCCGGGAACUGCGUCCGAUACUGGCAGGCUUGAAUCCGGGAGAGGGAUGUGGAAUUCCAGGUGUAGCGGUGAAAUGCGUAGAUAUCUGGAGGAACACCGGUGGCGAAGGCGGCAUCCUGGACCGGUAUUGACGCUGAGGCGCGAAAGCCAGGGGAGCAAACGGG